AUUACUAAUUGAGAAGUCGAUUUUUCAAUUUUUCCGUUGAGGAAAACUCCACAAUUCGGGUGUAAUUUGUGAAAAUUUCAUAAUACCACCACGCGAAUCCACGUGUUUCCUAACUCUUUCUGCCUAUACAAUUAAACUAACUACGAAAUUACUAAACAGUCAAAUAUCGCGUCGUCGACGAGCAGAAACGUCUACGUUUUCCCGGGUGUGCCUAAGUAGAUGUCAUCGUCACGACGCUUCCGAGCC